rnacentral:rRNA from 1 species
GAUCCUGGCUUAGAACGAACGCUGGUGGCGUGUCUUAUACAUGCAAGUCGAGCGAGGCAGCAAUGCCGAGCGGCGAACGGGUGAGUAACGCGUAAGCAAUCUGCCCCAUAGUCAGGGAAAUACCCGUGCCAACGCGCGGUUAAUGUCCAGGAGAGUGGCCAGCUGCAUGGCUGGUUGACUAGAGAUUUAUCGGUAUGGGAUGAGCUUGCGUCCGAUUAGCUAGUUGGCGGGGCAACGGCCCACCAAGGCGACGAUCGGUAGCCGGCCUGAGAGGGUGACCGGCCACCAUUGGGACUGAGAUACGGCCCAGACUCCUACGGGAGGCAGCAGUAGGGAAUAUUGCACAAUGGGGGAAACCCUGAUGCAGCAACGCCACGUGUGGGAAGAAGCAUUUCGGUGUGUAAACCACUGUCAUGAGGGAAUAAGGCCCGCCUUCGGACGGGAUUGAAUGUACCUUGAGAGGAAGCACCGGCAAACUUCGUGCCAGCAGCUGC